AGAAGACGUAUGCUGGGAGCAGGAUCUCAAAUGCUCCGGAGAACAAUUUUGCAGUUUCUUUUAUGCGUUUGAGAUUAAAGAGGGAAGGUUGCAAUUUAAACACUAGCCCCUGGUUUUCAGAGUUAGUUGUAAGAAACGGUCAGAUGAGGAAUGCUUUUGCAUCAUCCAAAAGAACUCUUCACGGAAUAUGUCUUUGCUGACAGCCAUUCAAAUCACACUUUGCAACAUGCAGCAACUCGACAAGGAAGCUACUUCAAGUUCCUUUUGAACUGUGAAUGAAAUGGACCAGUCACAAUGGAGAAGUUCCAGCCAUCCUAGAAGAAACGUG